rnacentral:rRNA from 1 species
UGACACAGGGAGGUAGUGACAAGAAAUAACAAUACAGGGCAAUUGUCUUGUAAUUGGAAUGAUGGUGACCUAAACCCUCACCAGAGUAACAAUUGGAGGGCAAGUCUGGUGCCAGCAGCCGCGGUAAUUCCAGCUCCAAUAGCGUAUAUUAAACUUGUUGCAGUUAAAAAGCUCGUAGUUGAAUUUCUGCGUUAUCGAGUUAUUGACUCUUGUCUUUAAUCGAUUUCGCUUUUGGGAUUUAUCCUCUUUUUACUUUGAGAAAAUUAGAGUGUUUCAAGCAGACUUUUGUCUUGAAUACUUCAGCAUGGAAUAAUAGAGUAAGGACUUUGGUUCUAUUUUGUUGGUUUUUGAACCUUAGUAAUGGUUAAUAGGAACGGUUGGGGG